GUGGCAAUCCCUGAGCAUAAUAAGCAACCUUACUUUCCUAAAUCUUUUCUUAAUUCAGAACAACCUGCAUUUUCCUUUUCUAUAACCUUGGUAAGAAAAUCUGAGCUAUCCAAAUUGUCCCAGUCUGAAAUCAAUUGUUUCACAAGCAAAGAAUACUGUGGCAACAUAUUACCAAGGCAUGAUUGUAUUUUAAAGAUAUCUAUAUCAUCUCCAGACAUCAAACCUGCCUCAUCCUUCCAACACUUGUAAAAUUUCUUUACAAAAAUCAUAUUACCAAUCUCUUCCUUUGCAUCUUGCUUAUAUGCCAAAGCAGUGAAUAUAGACUGCCUAUUCUUCCAUAAUCCCAACAUUUCAGCUUCCACCUUGUUCCAAAUUUUAGCACAUCUUACUGAAG